UUAAAAAUUUAUUUAUUAAAUAGAAAAAGUUUUAUUUAUUUUAUUAAUAAAAAUAAUUUUAUUUUUAAAAUUUUUAGUAAUUUAUAAAGAAAAAAUAAAUAAUAAUAAUAAUAUAUUUGUACUGUAAAGUAGAAUUGAAAUAUAAUUGAAAAAUAUUUUUUUUAAAAGAAAAAUUUAUUUUUUGUACCUUGGGUAUCAGUGUUAAUUAAUUAAAAAAUAAAAUUUUUAUUUUUCUUGAUUUCAAAAGAUUUAAUAUUAUAUGUUAGUUAAUAUAAAAAAAUUAUUAAUAAUAUAUUAUUUGAAAUAAAAAGUUAAUCGUUUUUGAAUAUAUCUAGUUUUUUAAGAAAUAAAUUUAAUUUAGAAAAAUAAAUUAUUUAUUUUUAUCAUAAAAUAAAUAAAUUUUAUUGUUCAAUAUAUUAAGGGAUGAGCUUUAAUAUAAAUUUUUAUAAUUAUUUAAUAAAUUUAAAUAAAAAUAAACUUAUAAAUAGUUAUUUUUAGUAUUUAUGUUAUAAUUUAUUUUAGAAAAGAAAAUAUUUAUUAAUUUUAUAUUUAAAUUUUUAUUAAAAAAGUUUUUUGAAUGUUAAAAAAUACGAUAUUAUGAUUAAAUUAGUAAAUUAAAAAAAAAUUGUAAGAUAUAAUAUAUUAUUAUAUUAAAAGUUAAGUUAUAUGAAUUCGGCAAAAAUUAAAUAUUCACUUGUUUAUUAAAAACAUGUCUUUUUAUUAGAUUUUAUUAAAAAGUCAAACCUGCCCACUGAAAUUUUUUAAAGGGCCGCGGUAUUUUGACCGUGCAAAGGUAGCAUAAUCAUUAGUUUUUUAAUUGAGGACUAGUAUGAAUGGUUGGAUGAGAUAUUUACUUUAUUUAAUUAAUUAAAAUUGAAUUUUUUAUUUUAGUUAAAAUUCUAAAAUGUAAUUAAAAGACGAGAAGACCCUAUAAAUCUUUAUAUUUUUAUUUUUAUAAAAUAUUAAGAAUUAAGUGAUUUUUUUUAUAAAAUUAAAAAUAUUUUAUUGGGGUGAUAUUAAGAUUUUUUUAACUCUUAAUUGUUAUUUUUCAUUAUAAAUGUAAUAAUUUGAUCCAUUAUUAAUGAUUAAAAAUUUAAGUUACUUUAGGGAUAACAGCGUAAUUUUUUUAGAGAGUUCUUAUCGAUAAAAAAGAUUGCGACCUCGAUGUUGGACUAAGAAUUAAUUUAGGUGUAGCAGUUUAAAUGUUUGGUCUGUUCGACCAUUAAAUUCUUACAUGAUCUGAGUUUAGACCGGCGUAAGCCAGGUUGGUUUCUAUCUUUAAUUAAUUAAAUUAUUUUAGUACGAAAGGACCAAAUAUUUAAUUUUUAUAAUUUAUUUAAAGAAUAUUAUUAAAAUAAACAAAAAUUAUAAGAUAAAAGUUAUUUAAGAUUGAUAA
rnacentral:rRNA from 1 species